GGUCCUGCUGGGCGGACGGCCAAGGCAGAGUGCCCCUCACCCACUCCACUGGGUCCUCCCACACCGCCUUCUGGCCGUGCACCUUAGAUGUCACAACAUGCCACAACAGUAAAAUUAGAGCGCAACAUUUCCUGUGAAAGGGAAGCCAGCAGCUCUCCCUGAGGACAGAGUCUAAUGCAACCUGGGGACAGUUUUCUGGAUUCACUACCUGCCAUUACUCACCUUGAUGCCGUCCUUGGCCCCCUCCUGCAGGUAUGGGAUAAUAGAGUGGUUCCAAAGAUCAAUAAACCACGAUCGAAACUCAUCCACUGUGACCGGACAUGACAGGAAAAAACACGGACCUGAGGACACAAGGGGGGGGAACAAAGGAAGGCGUGCAGCUGAUACCAGAGUUUGGGGACCCAGUCCAACACCUUGAUCAGGUCCUCGUUGGUCAGGUUCCUCUCGUUCUCCGACUCCAUCAUCUUCCUGUGCAAGUAUCGCACCAGGAAGCCGUUGGCUGGUUCCACGUUGUUGGAGAAGGUCACCAUCCUUAGAAAAUGAGAGGUGAGAGCACCGUUGACAAGUUCGCUGAUGGAGGCAGGAUUGUGAACAUCAUCCAGAAUGAUCACC